rnacentral:lncRNA from 1 species
CCUGUUCUUGUCUAAUGAAGAAGAGAGAAGGAGGAAAAACUUCCAUUGCCAUGCAAUAAGACACAGCUGGAUCCUCCCUGUUUACCCCAGUGGAUGCUAAAUGCUUUGGUGAAGAGGAGACAUCCCUGCACAAAGCAGAGCUGUGGAUUCUCUGACCUCCUUGAAGACUCUCUUCUGAGCUGCAGUGGACAUUUGCCAUAUUUUUAUUAAUGGGUGUCUGUCAUCAAAUCUCCCUCUGUAAGGGUUGGUCACUGUUGUGGCUUCUCUCGAUGUGAGGUCGGACUCACCUUCCAUAUCAAAAGUGGACAAAAUCACACUCACACUCUCUUGUUCACACAUAAACACACAACCCUGGCACAAUCUGAGGGUCAGUAACUGACUUUGGCUCAGCCCACCAAGUGGUCUUUCCCUGAAGUGUGAAUCUCAGGGAAGCAAUACAAAAACAGGCAGGGGGUGGGUGGCUACCUCUGGAGACAGCUGGAGGUCGUCCUUUCAAAAGCAGGCUGGCGGGCACGCUGACCAAACUACUCCUGCCAAGGAGCCAUUGCUGUGGUUCCUUUGGACUGGACUUCUGACUCUCCCCUAAUUUCUACUCAUUUCUAAGGUUAAUUCUCUUUACUCUCCAACCACUCCAAUACAUUUCCUUCCAUUUAUGUUCUCUAGAGUCUGUUUUCAUUGCUGACACCUAAGGUGGUGCAUAAUUAUAAGCCAGCGUGAUUUCAUUUCCUAUCUGAAGCCUUCGAAAAAAAUGGCUCUCAAGCAGUAUCUCAGACACCCAAAUCCAAGGCUUUACUUUGGUGGCCAUGGAAAGACACCUGAAUGGGUGGGCGUGGGAAUAGGGUAAGAGAAGUAGAAAAGAGGAAGGGAAAAGAGAAAGUACUGCAUAUUUCAUACCUACUAUAGUCUAGGACUGAGGAUACAGCAAUGAUCAACAUAGGCAGAGGCUCUAACAGAUGCCAGGAGCCAGCUAGGCAUUUGUCCGGCUAUCUUAUGAUAAUAUUAUAGGGAGGGAGGUGCUCCCAUACCCCAAGUGGGAAGAGUGCGGCUCAGUGAGGCUGAGAAACUUGCCGUGGGUCACACAGCAGAUGACUAUUGGAGCUGGAAUCUGAACCAGAUCUCAUUCCUACCAUAUCUGCUCUUUCCACUACAUAAAUUUGUUAAACAAUGGUGGGUAAACCAUGCACCUUUUUUUCUUUUCGUAUUUUGAUUUCAGUGUUGUAUCCAUGAUUUGGAACGAGCCCACCUGAGCCUAAUGAUGCGACGAGAUCAUUGGAUUAUAUAUGUAUUUACUUUAAAAACACAAGGUAGAAAACUUUACUGAGUCCAUGAAAAGAAAAGCUGGAGACACGUCAAAGCCUGUUUUGAUUUAAGUGGAAUAGAUCCAGCUUGAGUGUAAAUUCGAGACUGUGUUUGCUUGUGUCACACUCUAUUUUUCAAAUUACUUUCAUAUGUCCUGUUUCAUUUAUUUCCCCCAGUUCGGAAUGGGAAAACUGAGGCCUGGGACUUGAAAUAACAGAUGUAUGUUUGUACAGCAAAUCAUCAUGAGAGCCAAAACUCAAACCCAUACUCUCUCACCGAACCCCACUGCUUCUUUCAGCACACAAUAAUUAUUAUUAUGCCAAGUAAGUUUAACAAGGUGACUUGGAUCGAUUCAUUCUGAUGAUUUGAGUUGGCUCCUGGGAUCAUCUGGGUAAAUAUUAGGCCCACAUCUCUUUCCAAACAUAUUCCAUCUCUCUCUCUCUCUUUGGUUUUUUCUUUUUUCUACAUUUUCACCUCUGCUCCCUCAUCAUACCUCCCUCCCUUUCUCUGUUGAACUCCUCCCCUUCUCUUCUUUCCUCCCUUCCUCUCAUCCUCUCACCCACAAAAACAUUUGUUUGUCUUACAUAGGGAUAGUGUCAUGUGACUGGGUGGCUGAAAGGAGAAGUAUCUUUUAAGCUCCUGGAAGCAGAAUAUUUUCUUAUGGAUUUUUUAUUGUUUGGAUUGUUUUGCCAGGCUAAUGAAAGAAGACUCUGAGGUCCCCUUAUCUCAGGCCAACUAGAGGAUGCCUUCAAGUUUUUGUUUUUCUUCCCAAGCUGGUUCCUUACAAAUGCAUCCAGAAGGUCAUUCCCAGGUCCCCAAGAUAGUGGUGGGUAAUCAAUCACAUCCAGGACAUCAGCAUCACAGCAGAUAAGCUCAUGCAUGGGAGGAUUUGGGAAAGGAGAGAGGGGAUCCUAAACUAUCCCUGAACCAUGUGCUCCAGCAAAGGCAAGUGGAGGGAUUACUUUUUCUAGGAGUUCACUGGGACAGCCACAAGUAUAUUCUAGCUCCAAUGACCAUUCUUCCCUUUUGAUUUUUGACUCAAAACAAAUAAAAAUACACAUACAUAAAAUCCUUAAACAUUUCCUAUAUAAUCUGAUAAUUGCAAUUCAGCAAGCAAUAAAGAUUGUGUGAUUGUGUUUAACAGCUCCAAGGGAUGGGUCCACACAGGGCCCCCAGGCAAUAACUAAUCCCUCUGAAACAAACAGAGAGGACUCCAGACCUGGCUUUGCCAAGGACAAGUUUUGUAAGCUUAUUUAAGUCACCUGACUUCUCUAGGCCUCAGAUUCCUCAGCUAUAAAAUAAUGAGCUAGUUUAUUAUUUCAACCAAUGCUUAUUAAACAUCCACUUUGUGUCAGGCUUUGUGCAAGAAGCUGGAAAUAUUUUUAAAGUAUAGACACAGUAUCUGUUCUCAGGGUCUCAGUGUUUAAUGCGGGAAAAGAUGCAUCAUAAGAGAAAAGUGCUGUGGACGGCAAAGGCAAAAACAACUCAGCCCAGGAGCUUAUCUUUAGGAUUCUUCCCAACCCCAAAAGUCUACGUGUAUGGCAUUUUUUUGUCUGUUCAUUUUGUUUUGGUUGUCUUUUCACAUGAAUGUUAUUUCAUUCUUUCUUGACUAGUUGUUUUCAAAUCAUUGUUGCAUUGUUGUCAUUAUCAUCCAUUACCAAUUACUAAACACAUACUGUUACCCCAAAUGUUGUAAUUACCCCAACUGUUGGUAAUUACCCCAAUGACUCUAAAAGUUAGACAUUAUAAUCACUAUUUUUUAUAUAAUAACACUGAAGCCCAGAGAGGUUAAGUAACUUACCCAAGCUCACAUCGCUAGAAAGUUACGGAACUGGGAUUGGAGUUGACCCCUGCCAACUCCAAAGUACAUGCUCUUUCUACUACUUGGUGCUGCCUUAGGUAUAUGUAGCCACUUAGGACAAACAUCAUUUACAGGAGCAGGUGUGAUAUAAAAAUAUGAGGCCCUUUGUUCAAAUAUUAUUGAAAAUUUCAAGAUAGCAACAGCAAAGCAUUAAACAAAGCACAAGGCCUGUCUAAGCACAGGGCUCUGAAUGACUGCCCAUGUUGCAAACCCAGGAAUCCAGCCCUGCCAGCCACAAUUCAGUUUGCAAUGGCAUCUCCCACUGAAGCAGAAAAGCUUCAUAGCAAUUUGCAGGCCCAGAUCACACUCGCAGAAUGUUUCAGUGAUCAUGCUUCACAUGUAGGAUUUCUGGCACUACCCAGAGGGUUCAUUGUGAACCACCUGGCAGGACUUGGGGGCUCUGUGUGGUGGCUUUUUCAGAGUAGCCCUGGCACCUAACCUAAAGAAUAUUAAUAUCAUUUCUGGUAAUGCCAAUUACUUUAUUUUUUUUUGAGAUGGAGUUUUGCUCUUGUUGCCAGGCUAGAGUGCAAUGGCACAAUCUCAGCUCACCACAACCUCUGCCUCCCAGGUUCAAGUGAUUCUCCUGCCUCAGCCUCCCGAGUAGCUGGGAUUACAGGCAUGUGACACCACACCUGGCUAAUUUUGUAUUUUUGGUAGAGACAAGGUUUCUCCAUGUUGGUCAGGCUGGUCUCGAACUCCCGACCUCAGGUGAUCCGACCACCUCGACCUCCCAAAGUGCUGGGAUUACAGGCGUGAACCACAGCGCCCGGCCAGCCAAUUACUUUUUUUAAUGUGGGGAAAGGUAUAUAAUCUUGCUGAAAGAGUUUUGCUCCGUGUGAUGGUUCAUACCUGUAAUCCCAGUAUUUUGGGAGGCUGAGGCAGGAGGAUGGCUUGAGCCCAAGAGUUUGAGACCAGCCUGGGAAACAGAGACCCCUGUCUCUACAAAAAAUACAAAAAAUUAGCCAGGCAUGGUGGUAUGUACCUGUAGUAGGAGGCUGAGCUGGGAGGAUCACUUGAGCCUGGGAGGUUGAGGCCACAGUAAGCCAUGAUCAUGCCACUGCACUCCAGCCUGGGUGACAGAGUAAAGAAAAAAAAAAAAAAAGAGUUCUGGUCAUACCCUUACACCCUUACUCUUACAUUUAGAACAUUUAGAACAUUAAUGCUGCAUAAAUGGAACAUGUCCAAAAGCCUCUUAGGAUGCAAGCCUCUUUUGAAAUUGCAAACUGGGACCAGUACAUGUGCCCUAAUAGAGGGCAGUAGGAAAAAAAGCAAGAGCUUUGCAGCUGCUGGAUUACGAACCUCUCUACUGAGGCACUAACUCCUAUUAAGGUGUUAGCUCCUACUGACCCAGCAGAGGCUGAGUAAAGAUUGUCAUUUUGGUCAAUGAUUCUUAAUCAGUGGUAUUUAAUCUUUUGAGAUCACAGACCCCUUCUUUGAAAAGUAUGAACCAUCUCCCCAGAAAAAAGACAGGUGUAUGUAAAAUAUUCUUGCAUUCAAUUGUAGACUCUCUGCCUUAGCCCUAGAUUUUUUAAAACCAUAUUUUAAAGCAUGGCUCCCCUAAUUAUAGAAUUGUCAGAGGCGUCUGAACCAGAGCAACUCCAUCUUGAGUAGGGGCUGGGUAAAAUAAGGCUGAGACCUACUGGGCUGCAUUCCCAGACGGUUAGGCAUUCUAAGUCACAGGAUGAGAUAGGAGGUCAGCCAAGAUACAGGUCAUCAAGACCUUGCUGAUAAAAUAGGUUGCAGUAAAGAAGCCAGCUGAAGCCCACCAAAACCAAGAUGGCCAUGAGAGUGACCUCUGGUUGUCCUCACUGCUACACUCCCACCAGCACCAUGACAGUUUACAGAUGCCAUGGCAAUGUCAGGAAGUUACCCUAUAUGGUCUAAAAGGGGAGGCAUGAAUAAUCCACCCCUUGUUUAGCAUAUAAUCAAGAAAUAACCAUAAAAAUAGGCAACCAGAAGCCUUCUGUCAGUGGAGUAGCCAUUCUUUUAUUCCUUUACUUUCUUAAUAAACUUGCUUUCACUUUA